GGAAAACUACUUCCUGGUUUCUCUGUACAGUGUGAAAUAGUUUAUGUGCCUGGCCCUUUAAAUGACCCCAUGCUCUUUAGUGACAGUUGGCUUUUGGACUUCUGGGAACUGGAGAGGGUCUAAAAGCCAACAGAAACUGAGCGAGACAGUAGGAGAGUUAGAUACAGGAGUUGGAGAGAGUCGUCACGAAGUCCUUGUCGACUAGACCAGCACAAAACUUUGAGGUGUUCUUUCCCUGGCAGAUGCUCUUAGCCUUGCUGGUGAAGAGAAGGACAGAGAUCCCAAGUUGAGGGGGCACAAGUGGAUCCACCCUCUGAUCCCAGCCAGGCUCCUCCCUCAUCUGGAGGACUUGAAGGUGAUGCUGCAGCUCUCCUGGGUUGUUUUCCUGGAUGGCCGGCUCCUGCUUCACGUAUUUAAGCAUUUCUUCCCUUGUUUCCAUGAACUGUUCAUUGGAAGAUUGGUGUUCUUGGUGGAGGGCUGUACAGACCUUCAUACAAGAGCAAGCAGGUACAGAGCAUCCCAAGAGCCUGCUACUCGGCCAGGUGGAGAAAUAAAAACCCUGUUUAAAGACAGACUAAGAAAGCAAAUGAUCUCCGCUAGCUACCGCACACAGGCAUAAUGCACCGUACUGCCCAGAGGCUUCGAGGUAAAUGAGCAUGGGAGUUUAGAGGAAGCUCACCAGCUGUUUCAGAAUUGGUUGAGAACUCUAUCAUUUCCUUCUUAACUAAGCUCUGGUGCAGAGGAUUUUCUACAUGGCCGGACUACGUUGAGGUAGUGAGAGAAUUCUUUUCCCUGAAGUCCUAAGUCUCUCGCUCUCUCUCACCUAACUUAUCAAAAGUCCUUCCCGCAUCCCUGGUCAUCUAGUCAGUUCCAGACUUUAGGCUCCAGGAAGAAAGAACUUUCCAGCAACACUUAGAGAAAACAGGGCUAUCAUGGUGAUUCUCAGGCUUCUGUCCCUGUGAUUGGGUUGCAGGAAGAAAGGAGAAGGCCACUUGCCUCCAGAAUCCAUGACAAUGAGAAGCACACAUUUGGCAUUUGCACUGGGAUAUUCUCCUUGCCAGCAGCUUCCCACCCGUGAUAUCCCAUGACCCUGCCAUGCACACAAGUUCCAGAACUGAGACCUCACUCAAAGCUCUGUGCCUAGUACCCCACCUCUCAUGAGGACAUGUACACGUAUGACAUGUCAAUCACCUGUCUCCUUUAUUGGACUGCAGCUUCAAGCAGAGCAGCAGGAUAUGCUUGCCAAUGUUCACUUUCUCACAAGAGAUUAACUUCCCCAAAUACUUGUGCCUAGACAGAGAAAUGAACAAUCACAGUACAUGUUAUGGGGGGCUGGUUGGGAGUGUGGAUUAGAAAGGUGACGGGUGAAAGCACUUGUGUGUGUGUGUGUGUGUGUGUGUUUGUGUGGAUGAGCAGACAGGAAAUCAACAUGGCAAAUGGUGCCAGACAUUAGCCUGACCCAGUUGCCUACCCUACCUGCUGUUGCUGUAUCUGGAGGUCACUAGUCUCCUCUUGUUGAUAUCUUAGAUAUUAGCACAAGUCUUCCAAAUAUUGCUGUAGGAGGGACCAAUUCCCCUGCCUCAGCAUGUCUACCUCCU
rnacentral:lncRNA from 1 species